rnacentral:lncRNA from 1 species
AUAACAAAACAAAGGUUGAGAGAGGUGUAUUCUGCUAUGAGAGCGCGGAGAGCUCGCGCUCUCUACGGCUUUCUGAGGGGUAUGAAAGCUCCUACUUGAUGCUGCCGCUGGCAGCAGAGAGAGGUCACCUGGGCCUAAGAGGGGAGGCCUACUCUUAACAUCACACAUCCUGCAGGAUACUCACUGUAAACAAUGGCUAACCCCACCCCCAAUCUCCAGCUUCAGCCAGAGUUUUAUGGACUUGGGGACUAUGAAGAGACCCCUGGUGGCAUGUCUUGUGGGACAUUCUCAAAUUGAAUUAAGGUCCUGUUCUGUGCUGCACCCCCUCGGACCCCUUCGAGAGCCCCCCUGAACCCCCUUGGCCCGGUCCUGUUCCCCUCAUCCAGCCGCCUCGGACUAAUUAAAACCGGUGUGGCCUUGUCUUCGCUGGAUUAACCCUAACGAGGAUCCACUGACUCCACCAGCAUGUGCCUCUUGAUGAGAGAGAGAGAGAGAAACAGAGACAGACAGAAAGAGAAAUGGGAGGAUUUGUCCAGGCAACCUUAGCCUUGAAACCCAACACUUAAUUCACUACAGAUGAUACAGAAAAGAUGGAAGAGAGAGAGAGAAAGAGACAAAUAUACUUAUGUUGAUAGUUUAAAUCACUAGUGUGUGUAGUGUUUUAAAAACUGUUAGUGAACUCAUCGAAAUGUGGCCUGAUUGUGAAGAGAGUCAUAAAACGGACCUCUUGUCAGCCCUCUAUGAAUCCAUCUGAUUCCAUCAUACAGAGAGAUGAAUGCCAAUUCUCUUUCUUUGUGUGUGUGCGUGGGUGCCAGGGGCAGAGCAAAAUUCAAUUCUCUGGCUUUGAUAAUGCAUUAAUAAUAAAAUGCAAUGUUAAAACA